ACGAGUUAGGGUCUCCUAGGCCCGACCUCCCAACCCUUUGUUUACUGAACCUUUGUUGCUUCGGCGGACCCGUCUUCACCGACCGCCGGGGGACUGCCGAGAAGCGUCCUCUGGCCAGCGUCCGCCGACAGCCAACCUUUCAAACUCUUGAAUAAAUCGUGUCUUAUGUCUAAGUCCAAGAUUAAAUUAAAAGCA
rnacentral:misc_RNA from 1 species